rnacentral:rRNA from 1 species
GACGAACGCUGGCGGCGUGCUUAACACAUGCAAGUCGAACGGAAAGGCCCUGCUUUUGUCGGGUGCUCGAGUGGCGACCGGGUGAGUCACACGUGAGUAACCUGCCUUUGACUUUGGGAUAACUUCAGGAACCUGGGGCUAAUACCGGAUAGGAGAUCCUGCUGCAAGGUGGGGGUUGGAAAGUUUCGGCGGUUGGGGAUGGACUCGCGGCUUAUCAGCUUGUUGGUGGGGUAGUGGCUUACCAAGGCUUUGGCGGGUAGCCGGCCUGGGAGGGUGACCGGCCACAUUGGGACUGAGAUACGGCCCAGACUCCUACGGGAGGCAGCAGUGGGGAAUAUUGCACAAGGGGCGGAAGCCUGAUGCAGCAACGCCGCGUGCGGGAUGACGGCCAGCGGGUUGUAAACCGCUUUCGCCUGUGACGAAGCGUGAGUGACGGUAAUGGGUAAAGAAGCACCGGCUAACUACGUG